AUGCAGAGCGAGAUUUCGCCGGUGAGGCCUUGUGCCUCCAUGUCCAAGGCCACCACCAGGGGUAGUUGUGGCUGCCCUGUGCAUGAGACGCCGCGCCAAGUGCAGAAAUCAGGCGAGGUGGUGUUCCAUGUGGUGAUGGAGAGGCGAGACUUGAGGCAGAGCAGAGCGUCUCGGUUGUUGUCGGAUUCAUCAGCUAAUGUUGUCAGAGACAAAGGAUGCAAAACCGAUGAGACAAGGAUGGCUAACACUAAUGCACAAGCCAUCUGGUUGAUAUGCAAUGUGAGCAACCAUGGAUCUUGGGCUGAUUUGAUUCUGGAAGAGCGGUAA
rnacentral:rRNA from 1 species